UACGGAGGGUGCGAGCGUUGUCCGGAAUCACUGGGCGUAAAGGGCGCGUAGGCGGCGCGACAAGGCGGCGGUGAAAGUCCGGGGCUCAACCCCGGAUCGGCCGUGGCGACUGUCGCGCUCGAGCACAGUAGAGGCGGGUGGAAUUCCGGGUGUAGCGGUGGAAUGCGUAGAGAUCAGGAGGAACACCGAUGGCGAAGGCAGGUCUCUGGGCUGAAACUGACGCUCAUGCACGAAAGCGUGGGGAGCAAACAGG
rnacentral:rRNA from 1 species